UCAACGUCGCUCGUUUCCUAACUUCAAAUCCAACUUGCUUGAUGUUCGUGCCUUUCUUGCUGAGGAACGCAGAUCACCCAAGAGAGGAGGGGCAGUCAUUGUUUCGAAGAUUGUACAAGAAACUUUUUCUCAACCUUCCGACGACGAUGAAAGGACAAGUAGAAGCUUUCUUCAGAAAUUAAAUGCACUUCCAUGUUGCCCUAUGGCUUGGUAGGGUAGUUCACAACCAGCAGAGUCUAGUGUUGGAGCAAAGGUAAAUAUGGUUUAUGAAGUCGGGGAGUUGUUUGAGCUGGGUAUUCAAUUGUCUUGUCUGCUUAGACUACUUGGCCUUCUCGGAGCUGGUUCGUUUUUUAUUGUUCGUCAGGUUCUUGUUCGCAGGGAACUUGACCUUUCUGCCACAGAAAUUUAGAAGUUCCCAUGGGAAAAGAGUGGUUCCGUUGUACAAAGAAUCACGAAGUAUAUGGAAAC